UAAAGUUUUAUUCUUGCUUUUUAUUAAUUUUUUUUAUUUUGUAAAUAUAUUUUUAUUAUAGAUUGAUUUUUGUAUUAUAAAAUUUUGUUUAAAUUUAAUUUUUGUAACAGAAAUAAAAUUUUUAAGUGGUGGAAAUUGUGCCAGCAACUGCGGUUAAACAAUUGCUUAUUUUUAAUAAAUAUAUAAAUUUUAAUUUUUUGGAUAUUUUAAGUGUUUAGUAUAUUUUAAGUGAAAUUUAAUGACUAUAUAUUUAAUUUAAUUGUAAAUUUAAAGAAACUAAUAAAAUAAACUAGGAUUAGAUACCCUAUUAUAAUUAAUGUAAAUAUUAAUUUAGAGUAGUAUAUGAUAUGUUCAGGAAACUUAAAGAAUUUGGCGGUAGUUAUUCUAAUUAGAGGAACAUGUUUUUGAUCGAUAAUCCACGAGUAUCUUUCUUAAUUUAAGUACUUUGUGUAUUUCCGUCUCAAAAAAAUAUUAAAAAAUAUAUUUUUUAUUUCUUUAUUGAAAAAAGUCAGGUCACAAUGCAGGUUAUAAUUAAGAAAAAAUGUGUUACAAUAAAUUUAUUUUCGGAAAAUAAAUGAAAAUUUAUUGGAAGAUGGAUUUAUAAGUAAAUUAUUUUAUAUAAUAAAUGAUUGAAUUUAGAAAAUAAUUAUGCACAUAUUGCCCGUCAUUCUCUUCGAAAAAGAGACAAGUCGUAACAAAGUAGAUUUACUGGAAAGUGAAUCUGGAUUCAA
rnacentral:ncRNA from 1 species